UGCCAAGCAACUCCUAUCCCUACCUCCUCGUGGUACUGGCCGGGGUACGAGUAACCUUGGGGAAGAUCGGGUAACCAAGCCCCGGUGGGAAAUUUGGUCGUAUGCUGACAGGGAAGG
rfam:Aedes aegypti strain Liverpool supercont1.60 genomic scaffold, whole genome shotgun sequence.